UACGGAGGGGGCUAGCGUUGUUCGGAAUUACUGGGCGUAAAGCGUACGUAGGCGGCUUUGUAAGUUAGAGGUGAAAGCCCGGGGCUCAACCCCGGAAUUGCCUUUAAGACUGCAUCGCUUGAAUCGCGGAGAGGUGAGUGGAAUUCCGAGUGUAGAGGUGAAAUUCGUAGAUAUUCGGAAGAACACCAGUGGCGAAGGCGGCUCACUGGUCCGGUACUGACGCUGAGGUGCGAAAGCGUGGGGAGCAAACAGG
rnacentral:rRNA from 1 species